GAUGAACGCUGGCGGCGUGCCUAAUACAUGCAAGUCGAGCGAACGGACGAGAAGCUUGCUUCUCUGAUGUUAGCGGCGGACGGGUGAGUAACACGUGGAUAACCUACCUAUAAGACUGGGAUAACUUCGGGAAACCGGAGCUAAUACCGGAUAAUAUUUUGAACCGCAUGGUUCAAAAGUGAAAGACGGUCUUGCUGUCACUUAUAGAUGGAUCCGCGCUGCAUUAGCUAGUUGGUAAGGUAACGGCUUACCAAGGCAACGAUGCAUAGCCGACCUGAGAGGGUGAUCGGCCACACUGGACCUGAGACACGGUCCAGACUCCUACGGGAGGCAGCAGUAGGGAAUCUUCCGCAAUGGGCGAAAGCCUGACGGAGCAACGCCGCGUGAGUGAUGAAGGUCUUCGGAUCGUAAAACUCUGUUAUUAGGGAAGAACAUAUGUGUAGUAACUGUGCACAUCUUGACGGUACCUAAUCAGAAAGCCACGGCUAACUACGUG
rnacentral:rRNA from 1 species